GGCUCAAUGGUCUAGUGGUAGGAUACUCGCUUCGGGUCUAGUCGUAAAAGACGGGAAAUCCCAAUCUCAGAGAACGAGAAGCUGUGAGUGGUCCCGGGUUCAAAUCCCGGUUGAGCCC